CCUACGGGAGGCAGCAGUGGGGAAUAUUGCGCAAUGGGCGAAAGCCUGACGCAGCGACGCCGCGUGAGGGAUGAAGGUCUUCGGAUCGUAAACCUCUGUCAGCAGGGACGAAGCAAGUGACGGUACCUGAUGAAUAAGCCACGGCUAACUACGUGCCAGCAGCCGCGGUAAUACGUAGGUGGCAAGCGUUAUCCGGAUUUACUGGGUGUAAAGGGCGUGUAGGCGGGAAAGCAAGUCAGAUGUGAAAACCAUGGGCUCAACCUGUGGCCUGCAUUUGAAACUGUUUUUCUGGAGUACUGGAGAGGCAGACGGAAGUCCUAGUGUAGCGGUGAAAGGCGUAGAUAUUAGGAGGAACACCAGUGGCGAAGGCGGUCUGCUGGACAGCAACUGACGCUGAGGCGCGAAAGCGUGGGGAGCAAACAGGAUUAGAUACCCCAGUAGUC
rnacentral:rRNA from 1 species